rnacentral:lncRNA from 1 species
AGAUAUAAUAAUGAUAAAUGAAGAAUUAGAGCUAUCUCCAAGUAUUUCCAGACUUCAGAGGUGUGUUUGCAGUGAGCACCCCAGGCUGCUGGCCAUGCUCCCCUCAGUGUGCAGAAGGCUGACCCUGACCAAGAAGAUGUGGGAGAGUCUCACUCUCCCUCUUUGCAGGAGAUCCUUCAGGAUUUGUUUUGCCUGCAGCUGUGCUCAGUGUAGAUCUGGCUUCUGCCCACCCUGACCUGCACGUGGGGACCUGGAUUUGUAUCCCAGGUGAGCUCAGGGGUGGGGCUGACAGAGCUCAAGUGAAGGUGUGUGACGGCUACCAAAUGAAGUCUGCUCCCAUAGCAAGGCCAUUUGUUGUGGAAAGGUGCCUCCAGUUGUUUUUGGAGGGUGUUCCUCCAACCACAGCUCUGCCACCACGGCACCUGCCAUGGUCUUCUGCUGCAGCUGGAAGGUCUUCAAAGCAUCCAGACCAGCAGAAGGCCAAUAUUCCUGGCUCUGGCUUCUAACCCGUGUUUGCCUACUGAUUCUAGUGGGUUCCCACAUGGUAUUAAAGGACUUGGAGCCCUUCUGCCAGGGGGAUGUUUCCAGUGUUAUUUCCUAAAGCCUUCUUGCAACAACAGAAAUAUCCACCAUGUUCCAAAGACGCUCAGUUAAACCUGAGAUUGAUCUGCUUUUAGGGGGAUCUCUACCUGGGCUGAGGUCCAGGCUUCACAUCUCUCCAUACAAUGCUCUUCCCUAAUGCUCACUGAAAGCCUGAAAGUGGCUGGGAGGAUUAGCUAAUGGGUAAUUUAAAUGGGGCAUUUCAUAGGAAAUGUGUAUGAUAGGCGAACUUGAAGCCUCACUUCAACCCUGCAGCUUUGUCUUGUCUCUGUGUGUCUCUUUGUGCCCUUGCCAUAUGUCUCUCUGCUACUUUUUCUGUUCUCAUCUUCCACCCCAUCAAUUGCAGAGCUCUCUUUCUUUGUAUUCUCAGGCAGUCUCAGCUAAAGCCCAUUUUUGUCAAUGGGAGUAAUAGACUAGGCCUUCAAACUCCAUCUGACAAUGAAUCUGCCCCACAUGGAAACAGAGAAAAAAGUUAAGUCCAGGAAAGAGAGCUUUAUAUAUGUCUGGACAUACAUACACAGAUUUAUUUUUUCAUUCCUUAUCUUAGUGUUUCUCUUUAAGCUGAAAGAUCUAAAGGGUAGUAAAUUUGUGAUAGAGAGCCUAGGAAAGUGGAUAUAUAAAGGCUGCUAAUGACA